CACGCCGUAAACGAUGAUAACUAGCUGUCCGGGCACAUGGUGCUUGGGUGGCGCAGCUAACGCAUUAAGUUAUCCGCCUGGGGAGUACGGUCGCAAGAUUAAAACUCAAAGGAAUUGACGGGGGCCUGCACAAGCGGUGGAGCAUGUGGUUUAAUUCGAAGCAACGCGCAGAACCUUACCAGCCUUUGACAUCCUGGUCGCGGAUUUGAGAGAUCAUUUCCUUCAGUUCGGCUGGACCAGUGACAGGUGC
rnacentral:rRNA from 1 species